rnacentral:rRNA from 1 species
GACGAGGGGCGCGGGUGUUAUUCGUUUUGAUUGGGUGUAAAGGGUACGUAGACGGCUACUGACAUUAAUGCCUGAAAACGCGGAGUGUUCCUACGCGAAUGGUCGUUGAAUAACGUAGCUUGUGUUGGUUUAGUGGUUGGGGCAAUUUCAUGUGUAGGGGUAGAAUGCCGACAUAUAUGAAGGAACGCCUACUAGCGAAGGCACCUUUCCAGCGUCAACAGACGUUGAGGUACGGAAGCUCAGGUAUCAAACAGG